rnacentral:rRNA from 1 species
GGAAACUAGGGGUGCUUCCAUCUGGAAGAAUCUGGAGACAGGUGCUGCAUGGCUGUCGUCAGCUCGUGUCGUGAGAUGUUGGGUUAAGUCCCGCAACGAGCGCAACCCUUGCCUUUAGUUGCCAGCAGUUCGGCUGGGCACUCUAAAGGGACUGCCGGUGUUAAACCGGAGGAAGGUGGGGAUGACGUCAAGUCCUCAUGGCCUUUAUGACCAGGGCUACACACGUACUACAAUGGCCGAUACAAAGGGCAGCGACACUGCGAGGUGAAGCCAAUCCCGUAAAAUCGGUCUCAGUCCGGAUUGGAGUCUGCAACUCGACUCCAUGAAGUUGGAAUCGCUAGUAAUCGUGGAUCAGCAUGCCACGGUGAAUACGUUCCCGGGCCUU